CCCUUAGAUGUUCUGGGCCGCACGCGUGCUACACUGAGUGGAUCAGCGGGUCAGGUUGCGCGAAAGCGUUUCCUAAUCUUUAAAUCCGCUCGUGAUGGGGAUUGACGGUUGCAAUUUUCUGUCAUGAACGAGGAAUACCUUGUAAGCGCGGGUCAUCAUCCCGCGCUGAAUACGUCCCUGCCCUUUGUACACACCGCCCGUCGCUCCUACCGAUUGAAUGGUCCGGUGAAGUGUUCGGAUCGCGGCGACGCGAGCGGUCCGCCGCCCGCGACGUCGCGAGAAGUCCACUGAACCUUAUCAUUUAGAGGAAGGAGAAGUCGUAACA
rnacentral:rRNA from 1 species